rnacentral:rRNA from 1 species
UACGUAGGGGGCAAGCGUUGUUCGGAUUUAUUGGGCGUAAAGAGCUCGUAGGCGGUUCCGUAAGUCGUGAAGUCAAAUCUCUGGGCUCAACCCAGAAUCGCUUCCGAUACUGCGGUGACUGGAGUCCGGUAGGGGAGUGUGGAAUUCCUGGUGUAGCGGUGAAAUGCGCAGAUAUCAGGAGGAACACCAACAGCGAAGGCAGCACUCUGGGCCGGUACUGACGCUGAGGAGCGAAAGCAUGGGGAGCGAACAGG